GAGCGAUGAUGAAAAGGCUUUUACUAUGGACCUUUAUAACUAUGAAAGUUUCUACACUUGACCUAAGUUCA
rfam:Microcebus murinus cont1.12711, whole genome shotgun sequence.